rnacentral:rRNA from 1 species
AUUGAACGCUGGCGGCAUGCUUUACACAUGCAAGUCGAACGGCAGCGCGGGCUUCGGCCUGGCGGCGAGUGGCGAACGGGUGAGUAAUGCAUCGGAACGUGCCCAGUAGUGGGGGAUAGCCCGGCGAAAGCCGGAUUAAUACCGCAUACGACCUGAGGGUGAAAGCGGGGGACCGAAAGGCCUCGCGCUAUUGGAGCGGCCGAUGUCGGAUUAGCUAGUUGGUGGGGUAAAGGCUUACCAAGGCGACGAUCCGUAGCUGGUCUGAGAGGACGACCAGCCACACUGGGACUGAGACACGGCCCAGACUCCUACGGGAGGCAGCAGUGGGGAAUUUUGGACAAUGGGGGCAACCCUGAUCCAGCCAUGCCGCGUGCGGGAAGAAGGCCUUCGGGUUGUAAACCGCUUUUGUUCGGGAAGAAAUCCUCUGGGCUAAUACUCCGGGGGGAUGACGGUACCGGAAGAAUAAGCACCGGCUAACUACGUG